rnacentral:lncRNA from 1 species
CUUAGAAAUCAUUUCCGGCAGGGGUGUCGGUGGAUUUCCACCACCGUUACCUUCACCGCAACCAAAACCUGAAGCAUGCCCUCCUCCACCGCCUCCUCCACGGCCACCGCCUCCACAACCUGAAGAAUGCCCUCCUCCACCGCCUCCUCCACCGCAACCAAAACCUGAAGAAUGCCCUCCUCCACCGCCUCCUCCACCGCAACCACAACCUGAAGAAUGCCCUCCUCCACCUCCUCCUCCAUGCCCUCCUCCACCGCAACCAAAACCUGAAGAAUGCCCUCCUCCACCGCCUCCUCCAUGCCCUCCUCCACCGCCUCCUCCUCCAC